AUUACCAGCCAUACCAUGUGCAGUUCACCUGAAGCUAAGCAGGUUUGGGCCUGGGCAGUACUUGGAUGGGAGACCAGCUGGGUUGUCCCAUUGUGUGGAUC
rnacentral:rRNA from 1 species